rnacentral:rRNA from 1 species
ACGUAGGGUGCGAGCGUUAAUCGGAAUUACUGGGCGUAAAGCGUGCGCAGGCGGUUAUGUAAGACAGAUGUGAAAUCCCCGGGCUCAACCUGGGAACUGCAUUUGUGACUGCAUAGCUAGAGUACGGCAGAGGGGGAUGGAAUUCCGCGUGUAGCAGUGAAAUGCGUAGAUAUGCGGAGGAACACCGAUGGCGAAGGCAAUCCCCUGGGCCUGUACUGACGCUCAUGCACGAAAGCGUGGGGAGCAAACAGG